rnacentral:rRNA from 1 species
UGCUACGGGAGGCAGCAGUGGGGAAUGUUGCACAAUGGGGGAAACCCUGAUGCAGCAACGCCGCGUGAGUGAAGAAGUAUUUCGGUAUGUAAAGCUCUAUCAGCAGGGAAGAAGAAAGACGGUACCUGACUAAGAAGCCCCGGCUAACUACGUGCCAGCAGCCGCGGUAAUACGUAGGGGGUAAGCGUUAUCCGGAUUUACUGGGUGUAAAGGGAGCGUAGACGGCAUAGCAAGUCUGAGGUGAAAGCCCGGGGCCCAACCCCGGGACUGCUCUUGGAACUGCGUGGCUAGAGUGCAGGAGGGGC